rnacentral:rRNA from 1 species
CGCCUAACACAUGCAAGUCGAACGAAGUAGCAAUACUUAGUGGCAGACGGGUGAGUAACAUGUAGGUAUCUACCCUAUGGCCUGGAAUAACACGAGGAAACUUGUGCUAAUACUGGAUAAGUCUUUACGGAGAAAGCUUUAUGCACCAUUGGAUGAGCCUGCACUUGAUUAGUUUGUUGGUGGGGUAAUGGCCUACCAAGACUUUGAUCAAUAGCUGAUUUGAGAGGAUGAUCAGCCACAUUGGGACUGAGACACGGCCCAAACUCCUACGGGAGGCAGCAGUGGGGAAUCUUGCACAAUGGAGGAAACUCUGAUGCAGCGAUGCCGCGUGAGUGAAGAAGGCCCUUGGGUUGUAAAGCUCUUUCGUCGGGGAAGAAAAUGACUGUACCCGAAUAAGAAGGUCCGGCUAACUUCGUGCCAGCAGCCGCGGUAAUACGAAGGGACCUAGCGUAGUUCGGAAUUACUGGGCUUAAAGAGUUCGUAGGUGGUUGAAAAAGUUGGUGGUGAAAUCCCAGAGCUUAACUCUGGAACUGCCAUCAAAACUUUUCAGCUAGAGUUUGAUAGAGGAAAGCAGAAUUUCUAGUGUAGAGGUGAAAUUCGUAGAUAUUAGAAAGAAUACCAAUUGCGAAGGCAGCUUUCUGGAUCAUUACUGACACUGAGGAACGAAAGCAUGGGUAGCGAAGAGGAUUAGAUACCCUCGUAGUCCAUGCCGUAAACGAUGUGUGUUAGACGUUGGAAAUUUAUUUUCAGUGUCGCAGCGAAAGCGAUAAACACACCGCCUGGGGAGUACGACCGC